AACGCACGAGACCUGCGGACCUGCGGAGGGAUCAUUAUCGAGUUACUCAACUCCCAAAACCCUGUGAACUUUACCACUGUUGCUUCGGCGGAGUCGUCCCGGGUGCGCUCGAAAGGGCGUGUCCCGGAUCCAUGGCGCCCGCCGGGGGACCUAAACUCCUGUUUUUAUAAUGGUAUCUUCUGAGUGGCAUAAGCAAAAUAAAUCAAAACUUUUAACAACGGAUCUCUAGAUCGGAAGAGC
rnacentral:misc_RNA from 1 species